GGCUUGUUUGGGAAGCUCUCUGAAUUUUAUGGCCUUGAGGUCCUUGAGAGUGACAUCAUUUGAGGUUGCUAUGAAGUUUUAUGUCUCACUUUUACUUAUGCAACUGUUUGCAGUCCUUUGGUUGCUCCUUCUCUCAGUGUCAUGCAAAACUUUGCAGAAAUGACCUGUGAAUUUGAUCCAAAGAAUGUAUCAUUGCUACUCAAGGGACAUGCUAUGUACAGAAACAAGACUAUGGUGGCCGAGUGCCAAGGAGAAACCACUUGUAGAUGGUCUGUUUAAUGGCUCCAAAGUCAGGAUGCAGCAUCCGCAGUCAGCCUUCCCAGCCCAGGCUUGUGAGAAGAAAUGCCACCUUGGAAGUGACCCUCCAGUGUCUGCUGUCCAUGAGGCAUCACUCUCCAUUAGAGAUGAAUCACUCAACUAAACGCAUCCUGAAUUCUUCAUCUACAAAGUUGUGAACAAAAUAAAAUGACCUUUUAUUUAAAGC
rnacentral:lncRNA from 10 species